rnacentral:rRNA from 1 species
GCCUCCCAAAAGGUAACGGAGGCGCUCAAAGGUUCUCUCAGUACGGUCGGAAAUCGUACGUAGAGUGUAAAGGCAAAAGAGAGCUUGAUUGCAAGACAUACAGGUCGAGCAAGGAUGAAAAUCGGACGUAGUGAUCCGGUGGUUCUGCGUGGAAGGGCCAUCGCUCAACGGAUAAAAGCUACCCUGGGGAUAACAGGCUUAUCUCCCCCAAGAGUCCACAUCGACGGGGAGGUUUGGCACCUCGAUGUCGGCUCAUCAC